rnacentral:rRNA from 1 species
GCAUGCAAGUCGAACGGUACGCAUGGUGCUUGCACUGUGCUGAGAGUGGCGAACUGGUGAGUAACACGUAGGUGAUCUACCUUGAGGCCUGGGAUAGCCUGUGGAAACACAGGGUAAGACCGGAUGAGCCCCUGUACUUGCGGGUAGAGGGGGAAAGGUGCUAUGGCACCGCCUUAAGAUGAGCCUGCGUCCCAUUAGUUAGUUGGUGGGGUAAAGGCCUACCAAGGCGACGAUGGGUAGCCGGCCUGAGAGGGUGAUCGGCCACACUGGGACUGAGACACGGCCCAGACUCCUACGGGAGGCAGCAGCUAAGAAUCUUCCGCAAUGGACGAAAGUCUGACGGAGCGACGCCGCGUGAACGAAGAAGGCCGGAAGGUUGUAAAGUUCUUUUGCGGGUGAAGAAUAAGGCGAGGAGGGAAUGCCUCGCUGAUGACGUUAGCCUGUGAAUAAGCCCCGGCUAAUUACGUGCCAGCAGCCGCGGUAACACGUAAGGGGCGAGCGUUGUUCGGAAUUAUUGGGCGUAAAGGGCGUGUAGGCUGUUUUGUAAGCCUGGUGUGAAAGUGCACGGCUUAACUGUGUAUGUGCGCUGGGAACUGCAAGACUAGAGUCCGGAAGGGGGAGGUAGAAUUCCUGGUGUAGGGGUGAAAUCUGUAGAUAUCAGGAAGAAUACCGGUGGCGAAGGCGACCUCCUGGUCCUGGACUGACGCUGAGGCGCGAAAGCGUGGGGAGCGAACAGGAUUAGAUACCCUGGUAGUCCACGCUGUAAACGAUGUGCACUAGGUGUUGGGGCAAGAGCUUCAGUGCCGAAGCGAACGCGAUAAGUGCACCGCCUGGGGAGUAUGCUCGUAAGGGUGAAACUCAAAGGAAUUGACGGGGGCCCGCACAAGCGGUGGAGUAUGUGGUUUAAUUCGAUGAUACGCGAGGAACCUUACUAGGGCUUGACAUAUACCGGGAGCCGUGAGAGAUCACGGUGCCCCUUUGGGGCCGGUAUACAGGUGCUGCAUGGCUGUCGUCUAGCUCGUGCUGUGAAGUGUU